GUGAAGAGAAAGAAAUACUCAGGGAAGGCAUCGUGAUAAAUCUGAAAUUCAUGCAAAUUCUAAUGGAAGGUACACAUACCUGUAAAGAUGCACAGGGACUUUAUUACCUAACAGAGUUUAAAUUGAUAGUCAAGUCAGAAGAGUCUUUACUUACUUUCACAUUGUGGGAGAGGAUGACUCCAGCCAACUCCUCUAUCUUGGACUUCACAAUGACUAGUGGUUGAGCCAAUUAAGAAAAAUCUGAAUAAGAUAGAUCAAAGAUUUUAAUGGAAUUCUUCCUACCCUAAAUUAAAUUAAAGAUGUCUGUGUAAAUAGAAUUGUUACUCCAUAUCAAAAUAAGGAAAUCAUAUUUUCUUGGAUAUCAUUUCCCAUUGAGCACUCCAUUCAGUAAAAUUUCAUUACUGCAGUGAGAUGCGUGUGUUUGUUCCUUUGGACCCUCAUUCCUUAAUCUGUUACUGAGCAUAUACUAGGGAUCAGGAAUGCAGAUCAUCUAGAGCUCAAGCACAACAACAAAAGGCUGGCUUCAGUGUGUUCUAUGGUUGUCUUUGGAUGAGAGUACCAGCUAGAUUACUGAGUCCACACUCUCCCCAUCUUUGGCUUGAAGCUUCCUCUGACUUCCAGGCCCCGAAGAACUGAACUCUCCAUUCACCAGCACAGGAUCAGUGGCCCACUGAAGAAGAAAAUAAGCAACAAUCUGAAAGGGCAAGGCUGAAGCCCAACACAGCAAAGGCCAGACCUCCUCAGUCUUCAGUGAGAAAAUAGCAAAUUAGAGCUAGUACUGCACAUUUUUAAUUGAGUGAAGUACGUGGUACUACCAUAUCAAUGCAGAAUGAAAAAAAGAGGAGAUUGACCUAAGUACAGCCCAAAAGAGCUUUGUCAUGCACAAGAACAUGAAUUGGCAACUGAAGGUAAUUAAUUACGUAACUGAAAGUUACCAAUCAUGUUUAUUGUGCUGUUAUAUUAAGCAUGGCUCAAAAUAGUAAGCCUAUGUUUGAGGCAAGUAUUUCCUUCCCUUUCAUCCAGCCAAAUAUACACUUACUUAGCAUUUUUUAUUUUGUUGUGCUUUUUCCCAUGGCAUGGAACAAAACAGGAGAGAAUGCACAGGAAUAUAUGAGUUUGGUUAUAUGAAUGAAGGAUAAUAAUAUUGGUGUGCUCUACUCUAGGUAUACAAGAGAACUAAUGCAACUAUUCUUUAAAAAAUAGUAGUAAUAAAUAGGAUAUGGAUUAAUUAUUCCCUAUCUCCACAGAGGAUACCAGAAAUGAGUUUUGUGACCUUGAGCAAGUCAGUUAGAUCUCAAUUGUCACAUUGGUAAACUGAGAAUAUAAACUAUUCCCAGUUCAAAAGUUAUAUGAUAGGUGAAAUAAAAUGAUACGAUGCACUUACUUCAAAAUAAUAAAGUGAGGAUAUACAUGAAACAA